AGAGUUGAUUAUGGCUCAGGAUGAACGCUAGCGACAGGCUUAACACAUGCAAGUCGAGGGGCAGCAUAAAAGUAGCAAUACUUGGUGGCGACCGGCGCACGGGUGAGUAACGCGUAUGCAACCUACCUAUCAGAGGGGAAUAACCCGGCGAAAGUCGGACUAAUACCGCAUAAAACAGGGGCACCGCAUGGUGAUAUUUGUUAAAGAAAUUCGCUGAUAGAUGGGCAUGCGUUCCAUUAGGUAGUUGGUGAGGUAACGGCCCACCAAGCCGACGAUGGAUAGGGGAACUGAGAGGUUGGUCCCCCACACUGGUACUGAGACACGGACCAGACUCCUACGGGAGGCAGCAGUGAGGAAUAUUGGUCAAUGGGCGAGAGCCUGAACCAGCCAAGUCGCGUGAAGGAAGAAGGAUCUAUGGUUCGUAAACUUCUUUUGCAGGGGAAUAAAGUGCAGGACGUGUCCUGUUUUGUACGUACCCUGAGAAUAAGGAUCGGCUAACUCCGUGCCAGCAGCUGC
rnacentral:rRNA from 1 species